CGAAACGGAAUGCUUAACCAUGCAAGUCGCACGGAUCUUUCGGGAUUAGUGGCGGACGGGUGAGUAACGCGUAGGGAUCUAUCCAUGGGUGGGGGACAACUCCGGGAAACUGGAGCUAAUACCGCAUGAUACCUGAGGGUCAAAGGCGCAAGUCGCCUGUGGAGGAACCUGCGUUCGAUUAGCUAGUUGGUGGGGUAAAGGCCUACCAAGGCGAUGAUCGAUAGCUGGUUUGAGAGGAUGAUCAGCCACACUGGGACUGAGACACGGCCCAGACUCCUACGGGAGGCAGCAGUGGGGAAUAUUGGACAAUGGGCGAAAGCCUGAUCCAGCAAUGCCGCGUGUGUGAAGAAGGUCUUCGGAUUGUAAAGCACUUUCGACGGGGACGAUGAUGACGGUACCCGUAGAAGAAGCCCCGGCUAACUUCGUGCCAGCAGCCGCGGUAAUACGAAGGGGGCUAGCGUUGCUCGGAAUGACUGGGCGUAAAGGGCGCGUAGGCGGUUGAUGCAGUCAGAUGUGAAAUCCCCGGGCUUAACCUGGGAACUGCAUUUGAGACGCAUUGACUAGAGUUCGAGAGAGGGUUGUGGAAUUCCCAGUGUAGAGGUGAAAUUCGUAGAUAUUGGGACGAACAGCGGUGGCGAAGGCGUUAACCUGGCUCGAUACUGACGCUGAGGCC
rnacentral:rRNA from 1 species